rnacentral:rRNA from 1 species
UACGUAGGGUGCAAGCGUUAAUCGGAAUUACUGGGCGCAAAGCGUGCGCAGGCGGUUUUGUAAGUCUGACGUGAAAUCCCCGGGCUCAACCUGGGAAUUGCGUUGGAGACUGCAAGGCUAGAAUCUGGCAGAGGGGGGUAGAAUUCCACGUGUAGCAGUGAAAUGCGUAGAGAUGUGGAGGAACACCGAUGGCGAAGGCAGCCCCCUGGGUCAAGAUUGACGCUCAUGCACGAAAGCGUGGGGAGCAAACAGG